rnacentral:rRNA from 1 species
CCUACGGGAGGCAGCAGUCGAGAAUCAUUCACAAUGGGGGAAACCCUGAUGGUGCGACGCCGCGUGGGGGAAUGAAGGUCUUCGGAUUGUAAACCCCUGUCAUGUGGGAGCAAAUUAAAAAGAUAGUACCACAAGAGGAAGAGACGGCUAACUCUGUGCCAGCAGCCGCGGUAAUACAGAGGUCUCAAGCGUUGUUCGGAAUCACUGGGCGGAAGGCGUGCGUAGGCUGUUUCGUAAGUCGUGUGGGAAAGGCGCGGGCUCAACCCGCGGACGGCACAUGAUACUGGGAGACUAGAGGAAGGGGGGGGGAACCGGAAGUCGCGGUGUAGCAGUGAAAGGCGUAGAUAUCGAGAGGAA